AUACUUACCUGGCAGGGGAGACACCAUAAUCAGGCAGGUGGUUUUUCCAAGGUGAGGCUCAUCCGUUGCACUCCGGCUGUGCUGACAUCUGCUACUUCCCCAAAUGCAGGAAACUCAACUGCAUAAUCUGUGGCAGUGGGUGACUGCGUUCAGCAGGGUUGGGCUCAG